rnacentral:rRNA from 1 species
CUCACACUGCUGACGACGAAGGACCAAGCAGCAACGGCGAUCAAGCGGUUCAGGGCUGGAGCGGAGGUGGAGACGGGGCGCAAGCUGCGCCUACUCCGGACUGACCGUGGUGGCGAGUUCACCGUGGCCACGUUCGCUGAGUACUGCGCUGACGAGGGUAUCGGCCGUCAACUGACGGCGCCGUACUCACCCCAGCAGAACGGGGUCGUCGAGCGCCGAAACCAGACGAUUGUCUCCACCGCGCGCAGCUUGAUGAAGGCCAUGGGCGUUCCAGCAAGGUUUUGGGGAGAAGCCGUGACCACCGCGGUUUAUCUCCUGAACAGAUCACCGACGAAGAGCGUGGAUGGACAAACCCCAUUCGAGGUAUGGCACGGCUACAAGCCAGAUGUGAGUUAUUUGCGUGUCUUUGGGUGUGUUGCACACGUGAAGGUGACCAAGCCGAACCCGGCGAAGCUGGAUGAUCGGAGCACCCCCAUGGUGUUCCUCGGGUACGAGCCUGGGUCGGCGGCAUAUCGCGUCUACGACCCUGUGAAGAAUCGUGUGCACGUGUCGCGCGAUGUCAUCUUCGAUGAAGGCGCUCGGUGGGAAUGGAACAAGGAGGGAGCGGCC